CGAUAAUUAGCUCAGCUGAAAAAAAAAGAGCAUCGCCACCCUUCACAAAUAAUGGCGAGGGUCACUGGUUCAAGUCCAGUAUCACCGACCA
rnacentral:tRNA from 1 species